rnacentral:rRNA from 1 species
UACCAGCACCCCGAGUGGUCGGGACGAUUAUUGGGCCUAAAGCAUCCGUAGCCGGUUCUACAAGUCUUCCGUUAAAUCCACCUGCUUAACAGAUGGGCUGCGGAGGAUACUAUAGAGCUAGGAGGCGGGAGAGGCAAGCGGUACUUAGUGGGUAGGGGUAAAAUCCGUUGAUCCAUUGAAGACCACCAGUGGCGAAGGCGGCUUGCCAGAACGCACUCGACGGUGAGGGAUGGAAA